rnacentral:rRNA from 1 species
GAUGAACGCUGGCGGCGUGCCUAAUACAUGCCAGUCGAGCGAACAGACGAGGAGCUUGCUCCUCUGACGUUAGCGGCGGACGGGUGAGUAACACGUGGAUAACCUACCUAUAAGACUGGGAUAACUUCGGGAAACCGGAGCUAAUACCGGAUAAUAUAUUGAACCGCAUGGUUCAAUAGUGAAAGACGGUUUUGCUGUCACUUAUAGAUGGAUCCGCGCCGCAUUAGCUAGUUGGUAGGGUAACGGCUUACCAAGGCAACGAUGCGUAGCCGACCUGAGAGGAGGAGCGGUAACAUGGAGACGAAGACACGGGCAAGAAUACGACGGGAGGCAGAGGUGGGGAAUAUGGAAAAAUGGGCGAAAGACUGAACACGCAAGGAAGAGUGAGUGAAAAAGGUAUUAGAAGUGAAAAGCACGUUAAGGUGAGAGGAAGGGCAGUAAGUGAAUAACUGGCUGUUUGGAAGUGACAAAAAGAAUAAGCACCGGAUAGCUUAGGG